rnacentral:rRNA from 1 species
ACGAACGCUGGCGGCGUGCUUAACACAUGCAAGUCGAACGGAAAGGCCCUGCUUUUGUGGGGUGCUCGAGUGGCGAACGGGUGAGUAACACGUGAGUAACCUGCCCUUGACUUUGGGAUAACUUCAGGAAACUGGGGCUAAUACCGGAUAGGAGCUCCUGCUGCAUGGUGGGGGUUGGAAAGUUUGGCGGUUGGGGAUGGACUCGCGGCUUAUCAGCUUGUUGGUGGGGUAGUGGCUUACCAAGGCUUUGACGGGUAGCCGGCCUGAGAGGGUGACCGGCCACAUUGGGACUGAGAUACGGCCCAGACUCCUACGGGAGGCAGCAGUGGGGAAUAUUGCACAAUGGGCGGAAGCCUGAUGCAGCAACGCCGCGUGCGGGAUGACGGCCUUCGGGUUGUAAACCGCUUUCGCCUGUGACGAAGCGUGAGUGACGGUAAUGGGUAAAGAAGCACCGGCUAACUACGUG